UCGGAUUGAGUAACACUGGUUUUCUGCUUUCAGACUGUCACAAGUGCAGCAUUUUAAAACACACUCUUAAGUCUGCGGAUUGUUUGUCUCCAUCGGUAACAACAAGGUUGUGGAUAUACUUCCCUAAACCAAACCUUCUAAAUUCUUCAAGACAAAACAAGCUACAUUGCAUAACACUGACCAACAGUAUUGAUGACUGAGAUUGUGCUUUUCACAUGAAAUCUGUCAGAAACGACCGGGCCGUGGGCAGUCGCAAACAAUUGAAAGUGUAUAAUCAGUCUCUAUUAUCCCAUAAGAUUUGACCCUAUUGCUAUCUGAGUGUUAGAAUUCGGUCCAGUCUAAUGUGUUCAGUCCAUUUUGUGAUCUAUAGCAAUAAUCCAGAUGAACUAUCACAUUUACACACUGAAUCUUUUUGUUGGAUUGACAACAUCUGAAUAUUUAACUUUUGUUUCCUCACAUGUAGCCUUAAGUUUGCAAAAGUAUGCUAGGGUGUUUUUAAGAUAAUAUUCAGAACAUUUUUCAGGGGCACUGCCUUGUUUUCUGAUGUGGCCAACUGGCACAACUUGUUUAGUGACACUCAACAUGACUCAUUCACAAAUGACGUAUUCUUUUCCCUGUUCCCCAUCAAUAUGUAAUGUAUAAGCAAGUUACUAAAAAGAAGCCUGAAGCCAGGACAGCGGUUAUUUGAAGUUUUCAGUCUUUCUUAAAAAAAACAUAAACAGCUGCAGAUAUAGUUGACAAAGAAACAACAGUAGGUAAUUCUACGGUGUGUCACAGCAUUUAAACUGAUGAUGUCACCAGCUAGAGGUCUUCUCGGACCCAAAAACACGCAGCCAUGAAACUUGGACCUCGACCCGGGCUGCAGACUUCAUGCACCACACUGCUCUGCUUUUCUGAUGACACACACCUCUUUGUGGCUCUUGUGUUCCCGCCCUAACAAUGUUGCAAUUUAUGAAUAGACACACAAUACACACACACACACACACACACACACACAGCAUUAGUUCCAGCAGGCUCCAGCUCCAUCACGGAUCCACUCGGGUAUUCCACAUAAUGAUUAACAGACCUGGGACCCGCGACAAUAGAAAGGGGAACUGACCCGGAUCCGACUGACUGAGUCUGUACACGUCCUGAUUCCAAUCACUGGUCAUCUUUGUAUAUAACGUGACCCAGGAACCCUCUGUAAACGCAGCAGGGACUGCAGGAAGAAUGAAUGCAGCCAAUUCACAGAGGUACUUGAAGAAAACCUGCUCCAGAGUGAACGUGAUCUGAGACUGUGGCGAUGGUUCAUCACGACAGCGCGACAAUUAUUUAAUCUUUAUUUAAUCAGGCAAACUCAUUGAGAUCUAAAAUCUCUUUUUCAAGAGAGGUCUUAGAACAAUUAACAUUUACAGCAAUAAAAGACGACACAAAUUACAGAGAGCAAGAGCAGACAACAGACAAACACCUCAACUAAAGGCAGUUGCGAGAUUCGGUGAAGUGUGCUAAUAAUAACUGUUUGUGAUUCAUUACGUUUAAAAGCUGCAUAAUAGUUCAAACCAGUUUUCCAAGAUUAGUUUGAAUAGGGGGAUUGCCAAUCGGGAAAUCUCGGAUCUUGUUCUGUAGUUACUGGAUUUAACAGAAAUGAGUGAUUUUUUAAAUUUUUGUGGAUUCAUUGUCUCCGAACUGACAGAAUGAACAAAGAGUGGACCACGCCUCUCUCCCUUGUAUCAAUACUGACAGAAAAAUUGUGCUUUAUGUGUCACCCUGUGGUUUACUCUUUUGAUCACACCGGACUGCUAAGAAUUCUUUGACCUAACCAGAGCCGGCCCUGGCGAGAUGUUUGGCGAGAUGUUCGGUCGGCACCCCCCACCCCCAGGGCGCAUACAGUACAUGAAUUCAGACCCAAAAUGCAGACAACCAGACUCAAUGAAAGUUCUCACAGAUUUAAUAGUCUUUCCAUCAAUAGAGCAGUAAGGUAGAGAAGCAGGAGCAAGGCAGCGUGCAUUCAGCAAUGGUUUCCUGACUGAGUUCCAGUCUUGGGCUGAGUUGCAGGACUCACACCUGGCGCUGCCAGAUCUACUUCCUGCCUCAGAAAGUGACCUAAACGAUCAGAGAAGGCGAAUCAGCUUUGGGAAAAUCACUGCACAAGAUCUAAACAAAGUCAUAGAAGAAACUGUCCGAGGGGUUAACCAUGGUCGAAAGAAACAAUCUGGUGACGAGGAGUCGAAGAGUCACAGCUUUAAUGCAGAGAUAACGAGCUUGAUCAGGAAGGGACCUCAGGAAGACCACGUCCACUGACACACACACACACACACACACACACACACACAGACAGA